ACUCCUACGGGAGGCAGCAGUGGGGAAUAUUGCACAAUGGGCGCAAGCCUGAUGCAGCCAUGCCGCGUGUAUGAAGAAGGCCUUCGGGUUGUAAAGUACUUUCAGCAGUGAGGAAGGUGGGUAUGUUAAUAGCAUAUUCAUUUGACGUUAGCUGCAGAAGAAGCACCGGCUAACUCCGUGCCAGCAGCCGCGGUAAUACGGAGGGUGCGAGCGUUAAUCGGAAUUACUGGGCUAAAGCGCAUGCAGGUGGUUUGUUAAGUCAGAUGUGAAAGCCCGGGGCUCAACCUCGGAAUUGCAUUUGAAACUGGCAAACUAGAGUACUGUAGAGGGGGGUAGAAUUUCAGGUGUAGCGGUGAAAUGCGUAGAGAUCUGAAGGAAUACCGGUGGCGAAGGCGGCCCCCUGGACAGAUACUGACACUCAGAUGCGAAAGCUGGGGAGCAAACAGGAUUAGAUACCCUGGUAAGGCUCUAGC
rnacentral:rRNA from 1 species